UACGUAGGGGGCGAGCGUUGUCCGGAUUCAUUGGGCGUAAAGAGCUCGUAGGCGGUUUGGCAAGUCGGAUGUGAAAUCUCCAGGCUCAACCUGGAGCGGCCAUUCGAUACUGCUAUGACUAGAGUCCAGUAGGGGAGUGUGGAAUUCCCGGUGUAGCGGUGAAAUGCGCAGAUAUCGGGAGGAACACCGGCGGCGAAGGCGGCACUCUGGGCUGGUACUGACGCUGAGGAGCGAAAGCGUGGGGAGCAAACAGG
rnacentral:rRNA from 1 species